AGAGUCUUCUUCCUUGUUCCGCGCGUUCGGAGCGCGCUGCGGUGGCGUUGGUGCCCUCUGCUCCCCGACUCUUAGGCGAUUUACACUGGAAAUUGGGGGUCAGGGGAGGAAGAUUGUAGGUCUAAUUGCAUUUAAGAGCUACUGUAUCUGUAGUGCCAUUCGUUACCUGAUUGCUUUCUUCCUACUGGAGUUCUUCCAUUCUGCGGUGCAUUCCGAGUGAUAGCCUUGGGCGAGGCAUUGAAGGGAGGUAGAGGGAAGAAGGUGGUGGGUGCGCGAAUGAGUCAGAACCCGUGUCAUCUUUCAAAAGCUACUGUUCACCUAGAGAAGAAGCAUGGUGAAUUUGGGAGUCAAGAGAAGACAACAAAAGCUACUGAAGUUUCUGCAGGUUCAUGGACUUGGCAGUUUUACCGACAGAGAACAGCCUGAGUAUAUAUAGAAGCAGGGAAGAUCAAGUCUGUUAGAGGGUAAAUCUAGUUGACAGGAGCCAGGAGAUAUGCUUAUGGAGGAGUAAUGACUAGAUAGGAAUUGGGCUAUUUAAGUGCCUGGAAUGCCAAGAUGAAACAUAAGGAAUUUGAUGACAUUUAAGCCUAAGGGUUACAUAAUUUCGUCUAUGACCCCAAAGUUACCUUAAGAUGCUAAUGUUUGGAAUAUUCUCUGGCUCCAAUUCGUUCUUCACAGGGCGUUGCUAGAGUCAUCCUUCCAAAAGUGCAGCACUCCCUGCUCAAAACCUGUGAUGACUCAUGUGGUGAUACCCUAAUUGCCAAAAUCCAGUGACCUUUUUCAUUCUCCAUGCUAUUUGAUUUCUCAUUGUGGCACUUUUUAUCAUUUACGCUUUCCUAGAAACUGUUGAAGUAGGAAGUUUGAAGGCAAGAUUAAUUUCAGUGGCUUAAACACAGAGGGGAAAGGGAUGAGACAGAAAUCUUGGGGAACAUCUACAGCUGGAUGAAGUUGAACCAGCAGGAGAGAGGACAAGCAGAGAAGUAGAAGUUCUAGUGUUCUGUAGAGUCCAAGACCAAGGGACAGUCCUCUUCCUGCUUCAUGGAUGGCCCCACGUUGCUGAGUAAUCACAACUUUAGAAGGAUGAGGAAGCUCUGUGAGGUCUCUUUUGUGAAAGCACCAACCCCAUUCAUGAGAGCUCUACCCUCAUGACUUAAGUACCUCCCAAAGGCCUUACCUCCUAAUACCAUCACCUUUGGGGAUAGAAUUUUGAGGGAGACUUCUAGACCUCAGUACUGAUUAAACUGUCACCACAAGCAAGAUAACAGUCAUACGUCACCCCAGUUCUCCUGUCUCCUUUUGCAAUCCAGUCUCUCUCCACCUCCAUCCCCAGCAACCACUUUCUGUCAAUAUAGACUAGUUUGCAUUUUCUUGAAUUACAAUAAAUAAAUGCAAUCAUAUGCAGGUUCCCUUUUCACCUGGCUUCUUUGACUCAGAAUAAUACUGAUACUCAGUCUUGUUGCUGGUACCAACAGGUUGUAUGUGUUUUCUUUUUCUUUUUUCUUUCUUUUUUUUUUUUUUAAUCAUACUACUGACUUUAUAUUUAUUUAUUUUUUUGUCUUUUCUAGGG